UGGGGGAAUAUUGCACAAUGGGCGAAAGCCUGAUGCAGCGACGCCGCGUGAGUGAAGAAGUAUUUCGGUAUGUAAAGCUCUAUCAGCAGGGAAGAAAAUGACGGUACCUGACUAAGAAGCCCCGGCUAACUACGUGCCAGCAGCCGCGGUAAUACGUAGGGGGCAAGCGUUAUCCGGAUUUACUGGGUGUAAAGGGAGCGCAGACGGCACUGCAAGUCUGAAGUGAAAGCCCGGGGCUCAACCCCGGGACUGCUUUGGAAACUGUAGGGCUAGAGUGCUGGAGAGGCAAGCGGAAUUCCUAGUGUAGCGGUGAAAUGCGUAGAUAUUAGGAGGAACACCAGUGGCGAAGGCGGCUUACUGGACGAUCACUGACGCUGAGGCUCGAA
rnacentral:rRNA from 1 species